GACGGGGAGCACCACAACGGGUGGAGCUUGCGGUUUAAUUGGAUUCAACGCCGGAAAUCUUACCGGGACCGACAGCGAUAUGAAGGCCAGGCUGAAGACUUUGCCGGAUUAGCUGAGAGGUGGUGCAUGGCCGUCGUCAGUUCGUACUGUGAAGCAUCCUGUUAAGUCAGGCAACGAGCGAGACCCACGCCCACAGUUGCCAGCGUACUCUCCGGAGUGACGGGUACACUGUGGGGACCGCCGCUGCUAAAGCGGAGGAAGGAAUGGGCAACGGUAGGUCAGUAUGCCCCGAAUAUCCCGGGCUACACGCGAGCUACAAUGGUUGGUACAAUGGGUAUCUACCCCGAAAGGGGAUGGAAAUCUCCUAAAGCCAAUCUUAGUCCGGAUUGAGGGCUGCAACUCGCCCUCAUGAAGCUGGAAUCCGUAGUAAUCGCGUUUCAACAGAACGCGGUGAAUACGUCCCUGCUCCUU
rnacentral:rRNA from 1 species